UUUGAUCUUGAGAUCUGAUACACACAACUCAGAUCUGAUACACACAAUUUAUAAUUAACUUUCUCUCUCUUAUCUCUCUCGCAUCUUUUAGAGAGAGGAAGUUCUUUCAGAUUAAAAUCGAAAUCUCUUUGAUUUUAAUCUGGUUUUUUUUGUUGUAACAUAUUAUCCAGCUUAGUCUGGAUCUUCUCUCUCGUCUAAGUACGAGUUUUGUUUUAGCCGUUUUGGCUAUCUUCUUUUAUUUUAUUCGGUUUUCCCCUUUUGCAGAAACAAAAUCUCUUCAAUUGAUUCAAGUGAAGGAGACAAACGCCGAGAAUGAAGAUCAGAGGUUCAGAAGAUCAUCAACUGCUUGAUUUCCUUGCAAGAAAGAAUAAAUCCUUCAUACCCUAUUGGUGCCGUAAUCGGCUUAGGAUGAAGGUCUUUUUCUUUGUUUGUGAUCAGGAUGAUUGGAAACUUGAUGGCUGGUGAAGACAGAUUCAACAGAUUCAGAAGAGCGUGUUUUGCUGCUGGGUCUAAAGCCUCUUGCUUUGUCAUUGGUUCCGGCGAUUCACUCUUGUUGGUGUUUGGAUCUCUCUUUAUUCAUGCCCGGAGAAAUCUGCAAAAGGAGUUAAGGUGGUGAUUCUGAAGAGUAGCUGAUUUCAGAGAAUCCAUUCUGGAUUCGAUCGAAGGUCAGCCAUGGUGGUGAUGGCGGUGACGAGUCCAAGACGAGUCGGUGACGAUUCCUAGAUGAGUCGGGGAUGAGUCGGUGACGAGUUGAAUGCAUCUCCGUGUUCAAAAACGCGGCCGCCAAGACCGAUUAAUCGCCGAUUACACGCUUGGCGGAGGGAAACCGCCGCGAUUUCACCUUAUGCGGCAAACAAAUCGGAAUUUUAGUCGCUAUAUAGUCGCAGAUACGGGUUCGGAUGUAAUUUGGAGCAAUUUCAGGAUCUGAGGUGUCCUAGAGAUUUCAACGGAGCAAAGAUUUGGGGUCUGUAUUGAUUUAAUGCAAAUUCUCUUAAGGUUUUAGUGGGAUUUUUUUCCGUUUAGAAAUAUGGAGUUGUCCGUCUCUCCUCAAACCCAGAAUAUGAACUUGCAAACUCCCCGUAAAAGCUCACUUUCAGGGUCUAGGAAAGAUUUGUGGUUUGCUAUUCGAGAAGGGUCAUUGGUUGAUGUGGAUUCAGCACUGACCACGCUGAAGAAGAGCGGUGGCAAUAUUAAUUUAAGGAAUGCCUAUGGUCUGACUCCUCUGCAUAUUGCUAUCUGGAGAAACCACAUUCCUAUUAUUAGUAGACUUCUUGCAGCUGGCGCUGAUCCAGAUGCUAAGGAUGGAGAAUCUGGUUGGAGUAGUCUUCACAGAGCUUUGCAUUUUGGACAUCUUACGGUAGCUAGCGUACUCAUCGAGUCAGGUGCUUCUUUUACUCUAGAAGACAUAAAACUGCAGACACCGGUUGAUUUGGUCUCAGGUCCAAUAGCUCAGGUUAUUGGCGAGCAAUAGAGUUCAGUGGCUACAGAGGUUUUCAGCUGGGGAAAUGGUGCAAACUACCAACUUGGGGAAAUGGUACCAUUACUUUUAAAUUCCUGCUGAAACAAAAAGCUUGAAACUUCAAACCUCAUUUCAUCUUUGUUGGAUACACUUGUUGAUACGUAUGUCUUUUAAGUUCCUACUAUGUCGCAUAUGGUGUUUCAGAGCGUCGUUGCUCCCAAACCCUUAUCUCCACUCAAACCCUGUUUACCUAUCCCUCGUCCACUACCCAAUCUGCCUUGUAAGCUCCGUCGUGGCUUCGUUAGGGCUUCCUCCUCUUUUCUUGUUGAUGAUUCAGUUUCGGGUCUUGAGCGCUGCUUACAAUUGCCUACGGGAGUUGAGUUACGCCCUUCUUCCUCUGGUUCCUUCUCUGCUAGUACUCAGAUGUGUCUUAUGAUGAAAGGCAAUUUUGGUUCCGUAGGAGCUGUUACUUUGGAAAAGGGGAAGCUUGAUAUGACCCUGAAGAUAUCUGAGACCAGCCCUGAGGAUUAUGAACGUUCAAUUAGGGGAAAAUUCAAGACAGGCAUGGCUAGGUGUGGAGGCAGACCCAUUGGCGCAGUCAGAUGAUCUGCUGGCAAAGGCAUACAACCGACCCUCAGAGGAAGCAGUAGCAAAGCCAUCUUCAAGAUGGUUUAUCUCAAAGAAUGCAAUUGUCUCAGGGCUACUUGGGAAGAAGCAAGAGGACUCAGUUUCAGAUCCUGCACCUCCAAAGGCUAGACAAAAAAGGAUUGUGAGGAAGAAGGUGGCUGCAUCUGCCUCUUAAAUAACCAACAAAACCUCUAAAAUGUCACAAUUUUCAGAGUCCAUGAAAGAGCAACAGUGAGGUUAUGUUGUUCAUUUGAGGCACACAUGAAAAAGUUUUGUUGCCAGAGGAAAAAUGAAUCACCAAACUAGGGGAAUUGGAAAUGAUCUAUAGCUUUUUUUUCUUUAUGACUGAAUCUCAAGUUUUAAGUUCUUUUGGAAAGACAGUUCUAUUUUUUAGGUGUGGUGAUGAUUGCCAUUCUGUAUUUUCACCUUUUUUUCCUUACUUUUCUCAAGUGCUAAUAAAAUUAGCCACAUAUUUUAUGUU